AUGAUUCUUCGUAAUUUCAAGGGAGAGGUGAUAUUUGCAUCUUGCAGCUAUUUGUCAUCAUGUGCGAGCGCGCUGGAGGCAGAACUCGCUGCUUGUCGGGAAGGGAUUUCACUCACACUUGAGUGGAGCACGCUACCUUUCAUCUUGGAGACGGACUGCACCAUUGCAUUGAGCAUGCUCAAGGGCAUAGAAGUUGAUAGAUCACCAGCUGCAAUCGUGGAGGAAGCAAAACAUAUGCUGAGCUUGGGACGACCACAUGAAUUAACACAUGUUAGGAGAGGUUUGAACUGUGUUAGUCAUGCACUUGCGCAAUUAGGGAGGCAGCCUCGCACAGCAGGUUGGCUGCGCCAUGCCCCUGAACAUAUCUUAGCGUUAUGUAAGCUAGACUGUAAUGCUCCUGGUUGA
rnacentral:rRNA from 1 species